CCCCAGAAGGUACCACUGUAUCACCAGAAAGUGAAGUCACUGGGAGGAAAACAGGCACCACUGGGGUAGCUCCUGGCACAACUGUUGCCCCAGGCAGUUCCAAAACAGAGGCCACAACUUUCCUUGGGGAAAGGGAAACAACUACCAUUGGAGUAGCGACAGGUAAGUGCUCUA